rnacentral:rRNA from 1 species
AUUGAACGCUGGCGGCAUGCUUUACACAUGCAAGUCGAGCGGCAGCGCGGGGCAACCUGGCGGCGAGCGGCGAACGGGUGAGUAACACAUCGGAACGUACCCAGUUGUGGGGGAUAGCCCGGCGAAAGCCGGAUUAAUACCGCAUACGACCUGAGGGUGAAAGGGGGGGAUCGCAAGACCUCUCGCAGUUGGAGCGGCCGAUGGCGGAUUAGCUAGUUGGUGGGGUAAAGGCCUACCAAGGCGACGAUCCGUAGCGGGUCUGAGAGGACGGCCCGCCACACUGGAACUGAGACACGGUCCAGACUCCUACGGGAGGCAGCAGUGGGGAAUUUUGGACAAUGGGGGCAACCCUGAUCCAGCCAUUCCGCGUGAGUGAAGAAGGCCUUCGGGUUGUAAAGCUCUUUCGGCAGGAACGAAACGGUGGAGGCUAAUACCUUUCAUCAAUGACGGUACCUGAAGAAGAAGCACCGGCUAACUACGUGCCAGCAGCCGCGGUAAUACGUAGGGUGCGAGCGUUAAUCGGAAUUACUGGGCGUAAAGCGUGCGCAGGCGGAUUGUUAAGCAAGACGUGAAAUCCCCGGGCUUAACCUGGGAAUGGCGUUUUGAACUGGCAGUCUAGAGUGCGUCAGAGGGGGGUGGAAUUCCACGUGUAGCAGUGAAAUGCGUAGAGAUGUGGAGGAACACCGAUGGCGAAGGCAGCCCCCUGGGAUGACACUGACGCUCAUGUACGAAAGCGUGGGUAGCAAACAGGAUUAGAUACCCUGGUAGUCCACGCCCUAAACGAUGUCAACUGGUUGUUGGGGGAGUGAAAUCCCUUAGUAACGAAGCUAACGCGUGAAGUGACCGCCUGGA